CCCUCGUUAGCUCAGUUGGUAGAGCACUCCACUUGUAAUGGAGAGGUCCCGGGUUCGAUACCCGGACCAGGCG
rfam:Ixodes scapularis strain Wikel colony gcontig_1108379381990, whole genome shotgun sequence.